rnacentral:rRNA from 1 species
GACGAACGCUGGCGGCGUGCUUAACACAUGCAAGUCGAACGGAAAGGCCCUGCUUUUGUGGGGUGCUCGAGUGGCGAACGGGUGAGUAACACGUGGGUAACCUGCCCUUGACUUUGGGAUAACUUCAGGAAACUGGGGCUAAUACCGGAUAGGAGCUCCUGCUGCAUGGUGGGGGUUGGAAAGUUUCGGCGGGUGGGGAUGGACUCGCGGCUUAUCAGCUUGUUGGUGGGGUAGUGGCUUACCAAGGCUUUGACGGGUAGCCGGCCUGAGAGGGUGACCGGCCACAUUGGGCCUGAGGUACGGCCCAGACUCCUACGGGAGGCAGCAGUGGGGAAUAUGGCACAAUGGGCGGAAGCCUGAUGCAGCAACGCCGCGUUCGGGAUGACGGCCUGCGGGUUGUAAACCGCUUUCGCCUGUGGCGAAGCGGGAGUGACGGUAAUGGGUAAAGAAGCACCGGCUAACUACGUG